UUCAAGGGAUUCUCUUGCCUCAGCCUCCCAUGCCCAGCUAAUUUUUCUAGUACAUGCGAGUAGCUGGGACUACAGGCAUGUGCCACCAUGCCCAGCUAAUUUUUCUAUUUUUUAGUAGAGAUGAGGGUUUGUCAUGUUGACCAGGCUGGUCCUGAACCUCUGACCUCAGGUGAUCUGCCCACCUCAGCCUCCCAAAGUGCUGAGAUUACAGGCUUGAUCCACCAUGCCCGGCCCAGAAUUAUUUAUUUAUGAAAGGGCAGAGGCUUGUUUAAAACUACUUAAGGAAUUUUUCAAAAUAAAGUGCUGAAGCCACAUUCUUUAGGAUUUUAAUUGUGUUAUACGAGGUGCAAAAUAAUUUUUAAACAUUUUUCAAAAUAUGAAGUAGAUCAAUUCACUAGAGACAGUAUGAAUAUGCAGAAAGAGAAAAAUUAAAAUAUCCAAAAUAUCACCAACAAGGAUAACCUUUGUUUUUGCCGUCUGUUUUUGUUAUAUUUUAGGGGGGUUGCUUUUGAGACAGCAUCUCACUGUGUUCCAUAGGUUGUGUAGUGGCACAACCACAGCUCACUGCAACCACAACCUUCCAGGUUCAAGGGUGCCUCCCACGUCAGCCUCCCAAGUAGCUCAGACCACAGAGAAAUGUCUGUUGGCCGGGCACAGUGACUCACACCUGUAAUCCAAGCACUUUGGAGGUCAAGGUGGGAGGAUCACCUGAGGUUGGGAGUUCAAGACCAGCCUGACCAACAUGGUGAAACCCUGUCUUUAAAUAAAUAAAUAAAAAUUUUAAAAAGAGGGAAAUGUCUGUUAAUUACCUUUGUCCAU
rnacentral:lncRNA from 1 species